UUCAUUUAUUUUGUAUUAUUUUUCGUAUUAUUUUUACAAUAUUUCUUUUCUUUUAUUAUUUAGGAAUCUAAUCUGGAUAAUUCUUUUCCAUGAUUUUUCAUUUUGUUUGUUUCUUUUUUUAAUCGAAAUAUUUAUUAUAUUUAUACCAUGGACAACGUCAGUAUCGUUUAUUUUGGAAUGCAGAAUUGUUGGGUGAUGUCAGCCAUGUUGCUACAUAAAUCAUGACAUGAAGUGAUCGUUACCAACCUCUCUUCAAAGGAUCAGCGGCGAGUUUAUGUAUGUUAAUGGAGGAAAUGGAUGGAGCACCUUAAAUAUAAAGGCUAAGUUCCCAGCUCCAUUAUCGUAACCUCUGGAGAACACGACUAUACAAUUACGAUAUUAAUAUUUAUUUUCCUAUUGUUCGACCGUUUGCAAUAAUUUCAUGUUUUCUACUUCGUA